UUGAGUGGCGGACGGGUGAGUAACGCGUGGGUAACCUGCCCUGUACAGGGGGAUAACAGUCAGAAAUGACUGCUAAUACCGCAUAAGACCACAGCACCGCAUGGUGCAGGGGUAAAAACUCCGGUGGUAUGGGAUGGGCCCGCGUCUGAUUAGGCAGUUGGCGGGGUAACGGCCCACCAAACCGACGAUCAGUAGCCGGCCUGAGAGGGCGACCGGCCACAUUGGGACUGAGACACGGCCCAAACUCCUACGGGAGGCAGCAUG
rnacentral:rRNA from 1 species